UACGUAGGGGGCUAGCGUUGUCCGGAAUCAUCGGGCGUAAAGCGCGUGUAGGCGGUCCGGUAAGUCCGCUGUGAAAGUCGGGGGCUCAACCCUCGGAUGCCGGUGGAUACUGUCGGGCUUGAGUACGGAAGAGGCGAGUGGAAUUCCUGGUGUAGCGGUGAAAUGCGCAGAUAUCAGGAGGAACACCAAUUGCGAAGGCAGCUCGCUGGGACGUUACUGACGCUGAGACGCGAAAGCGUGGGGAGCGAACAGG
rnacentral:rRNA from 1 species